rnacentral:rRNA from 1 species
AUUGAACGCUGGCGGCAGGCCUAACACAUGCAAGUCGAACGAGUGGCGGACGGGUGAGUAAUGUCUGGGAAACUGCCCGAUGGAGGGGGAUAACUACUGGAAACGGUAGCUAAUACCGCAUACCAUCGGAUGUGCCCAGAUGGGAUUAGCUAGUGGGUGGGGUAAUGGCUCACCUAGGCGACGAUCCCUAGCUGGUCUGAGAGGAUGACCAGCCACACUGGAACUGAGACACGGUCCAGAAUCCUACGGUAGGCAGCAGUGGGGAAUAUUGCACAAUGGGAGCAAGCCUGAUGCAGACAUGCCGAGUGUAGGAAGAAGGCCUUCGGGUUGUAAAGUACUUUCAGCGAGGAGGCGUUACUCGCAGAAGAAGCACCGGCUAACUCCGUGCCAGCAGCCGCGGUAAUUC